GCCAGACACUGGUAGUCGGCGCUGAAGGAACUGCCGGUCAUAGGCUUCCCAAGCUGAAUCCGCGGGUUCGAUUCCCGUCAUCGGCUCCA
rnacentral:tRNA from 4 species